GGUGAACGCUGGCGGCGUGCCUAAUACAUGCAAGUCGAGCGAACAGAUGGGGAGCUUGCUCCUCUGACGUUAGCGGCGGACGGGUGAGUAACACGUGGAUAACCUACCUAUAAGACUGGGAUAACUUCGGGAAACCGGAGCUAAUACCGGAUAAUAUACUGAACCGCAUGGUUCAAUAGUGAAAGACGGUUUUGCUGUCACUUAUAGAUGGAUCCGCGCCGCAUUAGCUAGUUGGUAAGGUAACGGCUUACCAAGGCAACGAUGCGUAGCCGACCUGAGAGGGUGAUCGGCCACCCUGGAACUGAGACACGGUCCCGGCUCCUACGGGAGGCAGCAGUAGGGAAUCUUCCGCAAUGGGCGAAAGCCUGACGGAGCAACGCCGCGUGAGUGAUGAAGGUCUUCGGAUCGUAAAACUCUGUUAUUAGGGAAGAACAAAUGUGUAAGUAACUAUGCACGUCUUGACGGUACCUAAUCAGAAAGCCACGGCUAACUACGUG
rnacentral:rRNA from 1 species